rnacentral:rRNA from 1 species
GACGAACCGUGCAAACGUUGUUCGGAAUCACUGGGCUUAAAGGGCGCGUAGGCGGGCAAGCAAGUCCGGGGUGAAAUCUUUCGGCUCAACCGGAAAAGUGCCUUGGAUACUGCUUGUCUGGAGGGAGGUAGGGGCCCGUGGAACUUCCGGUGGAGCGGUGAAAUGCGUUGAUAUCGGAAGGAACGCCGGUGGCGAAAGCGACGGGCUGGAUCUCUACUGACGCUGAGGCGCGAAAGCCAGGGGAGCAAACGGG